rfam:Oryza barthii chromosome 1, whole genome shotgun sequence.
AAUAAGUACAGUUUUGCGCUGUUUAUGUCCAACGUUUGACCGUUUAUCUUAUUUGAAUUUUUUUAUUAGUAUUUUUAUGUUAUUAAAUGAUAAAACAUGAAUAGUACUUUAUGUGUGACUAAUUUUUUAAAAAAAAAUAUAUUUUUUUCAAAUAAGACGAAUAAUCAAACGUUGAACACGGAUACUCACGGCUGCACUUAUU